CUACGGGGGGCAGCAGUGGGGAAUUUUGGACAAUGGGGGCAACCCUGAUCCAGCCAUGCCGCGUGAGUGAAGAAGGCCUUCGGGUUGUAAAGCUCUUUCAGCCGGGAAGAAAUCGCAUGGGUUAAUACCCUGUGCGGAUGACGGUACCGGAAUAAGAAGCACCGGCUAACUACGUGCCAGCAGCCGCGGUAAUACGUAGGGUGCGAGCGUUAAUCGGAAUUACUGGGCGUAAAGCGUGCGCAGGCGGAUGCUUAAGUCAGAUGUGAAAUCCCCGGGCUUAACCUGGGAAUUGCAUUUGAAACUGGGUGGCUAGAGUGCGUCAGAGGGGGGUGGAAUUCCACGUGUAGCAGUGAAAUGCGUAGAUAUGUGGAGGAACACCAAUGGCGAAGGCAGCCCCCUGGGAUGACACUGACGCUCAUGCACGAAAGCGUGGGGAGCAAACAGGAUUAGAUACCCCAGUAGUC
rnacentral:rRNA from 1 species